rnacentral:rRNA from 1 species
CCUACGGGGUGCUGCAGUGGGGAAUAUUGGACAAUGGGCGAAAGCCUGAUCCAGCCAUGCCGCGUGUGUGAAGAAGGCCUUCGGGUCGUAAAGCACUUUCAGUGGGGAAGAAAGCCUUGGGGCUAAUACCCUCGAGGAAGGACAUCACCCACAGAAGAAGCACCGGCUAACUCCGUGCCAGCAGCCGCGGUAAUACGGAGGGUGCGAGCGUUAAUCGGAAUUACUGGGCGUAAAGCGCGCGUAGGCGGUCUGAUAAGCCGGUUGUGAAAGCCCCGGGCUCAACCUGGGAACGGCAUCCGGAACUGUCAGGCUAGAGUGCAGGAGAGGAAGGUAGAAUUCCCGGUGUAGCGGUGAAAUGCGUAGAGAUCGGGAGGAAUACCAGUGGCGAAGGCGGCCUUCUGGACUGACACUGACGCUGAGGUGCGAAAGCGUGGGUAGCAAACAGGAUUAGAUACCCGAGUAGUC